CCUACAUUCAUCCUAAAAAUCAAUUUCACCAUAUUCCGUCUUCUCUUGACCCCCCUUUCUCUGUUUACCAACCACACUCCUACUCAACCAUUCAUCCCAACCAAUGAUAACCAGAAUCACAGGUCGUGGUGGAGUUUCUCGUCACGUCGAUUGCGGCAGUGUUGCUCGCACCAGCAAUGAUGUGGAGAAGCUUUUAGUCGCACCAACGACGUUGUGAGCGCUGUUGCAAGUAGUCGUGUCAACGACACCACUACUACUACAAGCAACGCCUGGCAGUGAAGCUUGUUGUCACCGACGACAUCGCUAUUUCUACAAGCAGCAACGAUGCGACGAAGCUUCUCAUCAGGUCGACAAUGUUACUACUGCUACAAGAGGAGGAACAUUGCUGAUUUUGCUGUUGGAGUGUUGAUUUGCAAACAGUGCCAAUCUGUCGAUUUACAUUUUAAUCUUUGGAAUUUGUUACUAGGUUUUCUGAUCCAAUUUACUGUGGGUAAGCUGUGAGUGAUUUGUUUUGGUGGCGUUUUGAGGUGUGGGCGUUUUGAGCUACGGAUACUAUGGGUAGGGGCAUGCUUGCCUUGAAAGGAGGAAAUUGAAGGUGAAAACGGGAAUUGUAGAUAGAGGUAAUGGUAACAUAAUAGUGGUGGAUUGUUGCUAUGAAUUUGAGGUGAUGGUUGUUGUGGAUUUGACAUUGUACUUGUGGUUGUUGCUGUAGAUUUGGGGUGAAUGUGUUAUUUCUGAUUGUGAAUUUGAGUUGAAGUUGUAAUGAUGGGGGGCAUUGGAGGUGAUGAUGGUGAUAAUUGGAGGUACUGUUCUGCGAUGUGUGUAGAUUUGUUUGUGAUGACACUUUGUAACCAAAUAUGUGUUUAUUGUGAUUGAUUGUGAUCAAUUUUAUGCUAAUUGUGACUUGAUCACAUACUGUCACAAUUAAGAUUGAUCAAAUUACAAGUAGUUACACUGAAAACAUAUUAGGUCACAGAUAGUAACAUUGAAGAUAAAUUUGAUCACAAUUAGUUAUAGAUGACAUAGAUUAAUGACCUGGUUACACAAAUUAGACAAUUACAUAUAGUCACACCGAAGACAAAUUUGAG
rnacentral:lncRNA from 1 species